rnacentral:tRNA from 1 species
GUACAGGUGCGCGAGAGGCUUAAGCGUGACGCCGAAUGUUGACCAUGGGUUCGAAUCCCAUCCUAUACACCA